rnacentral:rRNA from 1 species
UACGUAGGGUGCAAGCGUUAAUCGGAAUUACUGGGCGUAAAGCGUGCGCAGGCGGUUGGGCAAGACAGAUGUGAAAUCCCCGGGCUCAACCUGGGAACUGCAUUUGUGACUGCACGGCUAGAGUGUGUCAGAGGGGGGUAGAAUUCCACGUGUAGCAGUGAAAUGCGUAGAUAUGCGGAGGAACACCGAUGGCGAAGGCAAUCCCCUGGACCUGUACUGACGCUCAUGCACGAAAGCGUGGGGAGCAAACAGG